rnacentral:rRNA from 1 species
CUAGUAUAAGCAUUAUACCGCGAAACUGCGAAUGGCUCAUUAUAUAAGUUAUCGUUUAUUUGAUAAUACUUUACUACUUGGAUAACCGUGGUAAUUCUAGAGCUAAUACAUGCUAAAAAUCCCGACUUCGGAAGGGUUGUAUUUAUUAGAUUAAAAACCAAUGCCCCUCGGGGCUCUCUGGUGAAUCAUGAUAACUAGUCGAAUCGACAGGCCUUGUGCCGGCGAUGGCUCAUUCAAAUUUCUUCCCUAUCAACUUUCGAUGUUUGGGUCUUGUCCAAACAUGGUGGCAACGGGUAACGGAGGGUUAGGGCUCGACCCCGGAGAAGGAGCCUGAGAAACGGCUACUACAUCCAAGGAAGGCAGCAGGCGCGCAAAUUACCCAAUCCCGACACGGGGAGGUAGUGACAAUAAAUACUGAUACAGGGCUCUUUUGGGUCUUGUAAUCGGAAUGAGUACAAUUUAAAUCCCUUAACGAGGAACAAUUGGAGGGCAAGUCUGGUGCCAGCAGCCGCGGUAAUUCCAGCUCCAAUAGCGUAUAUUAAAGUUGUUGUGGUUAAAAGCUCGUAGUUGAACCUUGGGCCUGGCUGGCCGGUCCGCCUCACCGCGUGCACUGGUCCGGCCGGGCCUUUCCCUCUGCGGAACCCCAUGCCCUUCACUGGGUGUGGCGGGGAAACAGGACUUUUACUUUGAAAAAAUUAGAGUGCUCAAGGCAGGCCUAUGCUCGAAUACAUUAGCAUGGAAUAAUAGAAUAGGACGUGUGGUUCUAUUUUGUUGGUUUCUAGGACCGCCGUAAUGAUUAAUAGGGACAGUCGGGGGCAUCAGUAUUCAAUUGUCAGAGGUGAAAUUCUUGGAUUUAUUGAAGACUAACUACUGCGAAAGCAUUUGCCAAGGAUGUUUUCAUUAAUCAGGAACGAAAGUUAGGGGAUCGAAGACGAUCAGAUACCGUCGUAGUCUUAACCAUAAACUAUGCCGACUAGGGAUCGGACGAUGUUACAUUUUUGACGCGUUCGGCACCUUACGAGAAAUCAAAGUGCUUGGGCUCCAGGGGGAGUAUGGUCGCAAGGCUGAAACUUAAAGAAAUUGACGGAAGGGCACCACCAGGGGUGGAGCCUGCGGCUUAAUUUGACUCAACACGGGGAAACUCACCAGGUCCAGACACAAUGAGGAUUGACAGAUUGAGAGCUCUUUCUUGAUUUUGUGGGUGGUGGUGCAUGGCCGUUCUUAGUUGGUGGAGUGAUUUGUCUGCUUAAUUGCGAUAACGAACGAGACCUUAACCUGCUAAAUAGCCCGUAUUGCUUUGGCAGUACGCCGGCUUCUUAGAGGGACUAUCGGCUCAAGCCGAGGAA